GUGCUCACUUCGGCAGCAUAUAUACUAAAAUUGGAAUGAUACAGAGAAGAUUAGCAUGGCCCCUGCACAAGGAUGAUACUGUGUAUUCUAUAGUAUUUUUUUAAUUUG
rnacentral:snRNA from 1 species